GACAGCAUGGCCUAGUGGUUUGAGCGUUGGACUAAGAAGACUCUGGUGAAGAGGGUUCAAAUCCCUGCUGGGCCA